rnacentral:rRNA from 1 species
AGAGUUUGAUCAUGGCUCAGAACGAACGCUGGCGGCAGGCCUUAUACAUGCAAGUCGAGCGCAUCCUUCGGGAUGAGCGGCGGACGGGUGAGUAACGCGUGGGAAUGUGCCCUUCUCUACGGAAUAGCCACUGGAAACGGUGAGUAAUACCGUAUACGCCCUUAGGGGGAAAGAUUUAUCGGAGAAGGAUCAGCCCGCGUUAGAUUAGGUAGUUGGCGGGGUAACGGCCUACCAAGCCUACGAUCUAUAGCUGGUUUUAGAGGAUGAUCAGCCACACUGGGACUGAGACACGGCCCAGACUCCUACGGGAGGCAGCAGUAGGGAAUCUUGGACAAUGGGGGAAACCCUGAUCCAGCCAUGCCGCGUGAGUGAAGAAGGCCUUAGGGUCGUAAAGCUCUUUCGCCUGUGAUGAUAAUGACAGUAGCAGGUAAAGAAACCCCGGCUAACUCCGUGCCAGCAGCCGCGGUAAUACGGAGGGGGUUAGCGUUGUUCGGAAUUACUGGGCGUAAAGCGCGCGUAGGCGGAUUGGAAAGUUGGGGGUGAAAUCCCGGGGCUCAACCCCGGAACUGCCUCCAAAACUGCCAGUCUAGAGUUCGAGAGAGGUGAGUGGAACUCCAAGUGUAGAGGUGAAAUUCGUAGAUAUUUGGAAGAACACCAGUGGCGAAGGCGGCUCACUGGCUCGAUACUGACGCUGAAGUGCGAAAGUGUGGGGAGCAAACAGGAUUAGAUACCCUGGUAGUCCA